rnacentral:rRNA from 1 species
UCCGUAGCUUGAGCAAUAAGUCCCUUGGGAAAUUCAGCAGCUUAACUGGUGACAGUUCAGGGGAAACUGUUGUUCUAGGGAUCGGGAGAGGUAAGAGGUACUGCCGGGGUAGGAGUGAAAUCCUGUAAUCCCGGUGGGACCACCGAUGGCGAAGGCAUCUUACCAGAACGACUCCGACAGUGAGGGACGAAAGCUGGGGGGAGCAAACC